rnacentral:rRNA from 1 species
GACGAACGCUGGCGGCGUGCUUAACACAUGCAAGUCGAACGGAAAGGCCCUGCUUUUGUGGGGUGCUCGAGUGGCGAACGGGUGAGUAACACGUGAGUAACCUGCCCUUCACUUUGGUAUAACUUCAGGAAACUGGGGCUAAUACCGGAUAGGAUCUCCUGCUGCAUUGUGGGGGUUGGAACGUUUCGGCGGUUGGGGAUGGACUCGCGGCUUAUCAGCUUGUUGGUGGGGUAGUUGCUUACCAAGGCUUUGACGGGUAGCCGGCCUGAGAGGGUGACCGGCAACAUUGGGACUGAGAUACGGCCCAGACUCCUACGGGAGGCAGCAGUGGGGAAUAUUGCACAAUGGGCGGAAGCCUGAUGCAGCGACGCCGCGUGCGGGAUGACGGCCUUCGGGUUGUAAACCGCUUUCGCCUGUGACGAAGCGUGAGUGACGGUAAUGGGUAAAGAAGCACCGGCUAACUACGUG